rfam:Sus scrofa isolate TJ Tabasco breed Duroc chromosome 4, whole genome shotgun sequence.
UCCUGGGUAGCCUAGAGGUUAAGGACUUGGCAUUGUCACUGCUGUGGCUCAGAUUUGAUCCCUGGCCCAGGAA